rnacentral:rRNA from 1 species
AUGAGGUUGAAGUAUUCACUUAGAUGCUUGCAGUUUCUUCUUCAUCAAGGAUUGACAUUUCGUGGGCAUGAUGAAAGUGAACAGUCUAGCAAUAGAGGAAACUUCCUUGAGCUAUUGAAGUGGCUUGCAGCAAAUAGUGAGGAGGUGAAUAAGUAUGUUUUGAAGAAUGCACCAGUACUUACUAGGAAGCAAAUUAUUGAUGAACUUGGUGAUGAGCACUAUGCCAUUCUAGCUGACGAGUCUAGUGAUGUAUCACAUAAAGAACAACUAGCUUUGUGCUUGCGUUUUGUUGAUAAAGUAGGAAGGCCAUCAACAUGGUUUGCUCGACCCCAAACAAAUGAUGAUCUCUUUAGAAGAGAAGUUUUUCUUGGAGUCAUUGAUCAAAUUAGUCAAGGGCUUGAAAAUCGGUUUGAUGAGAUCAAUAUGGAAUUGCUAUCUUGUAUGUCUUCUUUGAAUCCCGCCAACUCAUUUGCUACUUUUGAUGCACAAAAGGUACGAAGACUUGCUGAAUUUUAUCCCGAAGACUUUUCAAGUGCCGACUUGAUACACCUUGAACUACAACUUGAUAACUAUAUUGAUGACAUGAGAAAUGAUGAGAACUUCCAAGGCCUUGGGAAUCUUGUUGAUCUCUCGGUUAAGCUUGUUCAAACAGGGAGACACCUAGUUCAUCAUUUGGUGUACUUGCUUUUAAAAUUGGUAUUGAUUCUACCGGUGGCAACGACAAAUGUUGAGAGAGCAUUUUCUGCCAUGAGUAUAGUCAAGAGCAAGUUGAGAAAUAAGAUGGGUGAUAGUCUUUUGGAUGAUUGCCUAGUUACAUACAUUGAGAGGGAUGCUUUCUCUGAGGUGAAUGAAGAUGACAUAAUUGAUUCCUUCAUGGCAAUGCAAAAGCGUAGGCCAGAAACAUAG